rnacentral:rRNA from 1 species
CUGGUGAAGUCAGUUCUCGCGGCUAAACCCAUUCACCACUUUCUGGUGACUGACGCUCCUGCUUGGGUGUUCAAGGAGCUUGAUCGAAGCAUGCACGCAUUCUUUUGGGCUGGGAAGGAUAAAACGAAUGCUAGACAGUGUCUUGUGGCAUGGAACAAUAUCUGCCGGCCUUUGAACAUGGGAGGGCUGGGGGUUAAAAAUCUGCAACUGCAGGCACUCGCUUUACGAGUGCGCUGGGAGUGGCUACACCGGACUGAUUACUCCAGACCGUGGAGAGGUAUCCCUAUG